rnacentral:rRNA from 5 species
UUAAAUUGAAGAGUUUGAUCAUGGCUCAGAUUGAACGCUGGCGGCAGGCCUAACACAUGCAAGUCGAACGGUAACAGGAAGCAGCUUGCUGCUUCGCUGACGAGUGGCGGACGGGUGAGUAAUGUCUGGGAAACUGCCUGAUGGAGGGGGAUAACUACUGGAAACGGUGGCUAAUACCGCAUAACGUCGCAAGACCAAAGAGGGGGACCUUCGGGCCUCUUGCCAUCAGAUGUGCCCAGAUGGGAUUAGCUAGUUGGUGAGGUAACGGCUCACCAAGGCGACGAUCCCUAGCUGGUCUGAGAGGAUGACCAGCCACACUGGAACUGAGACACGGUCCAGACUCCUACGGGAGGCAGCAGUGGGGAAUAUUGCACAAUGGGCGCAAGCCUGAUGCAGCCAUGCCGCGUGUAUGAAGAAGGCCUUCGGGUUGUAAAGUACUUUCAGCGGGGAGGAAGGUGUUGUGGUUAAUAACCGCAGCAAUUGACGUUACCCGCAGAAGAAGCACCGGCUAACUCCGUGCCAGCAGCCGCGGUAAUACGGAGGGUGCAAGCGUUAAUCGGAAUUACUGGGCGUAAAGCGCACGCAGGCGGUCUGUCAAGUCGGAUGUGAAAUCCCCGGGCUCAACCUGGGAACUGCAUUCGAAACUGGCAGGCUUGAGUCUUGUAGAGGGGGGUAGAAUUCCAGGUGUAGCGGUGAAAUGCGUAGAGAUCUGGAGGAAUACCGGUGGCGAAGGCGGCCCCCUGGACAAAGACUGACGCUCAGGUGCGAAAGCGUGGGGAGCAAACAGGAUUAGAUACCCUGGUAGUCCACGCCGUAAACGAUGUCUACUUGGAGGUUGUGCCCUUGAGGCGUGGCUUCCGGAGCUAACGCGUUAAGUAGACCGCCUGGGGAGUACGGCCGCAAGGUUAAAACUCAAAUGAAUUGACGGGGGCCCGCACAAGCGGUGGAGCAUGUGGUUUAAUUCGAUGCAACGCGAAGAACCUUACCUGGUCUUGACAUCCACAGAAGAAUCCAGAGAUGGAUUUGUGCCUUCGGGAACUGUGAGACAGGUGCUGCAUGGCUGUCGUCAGCUCGUGUUGUGAAAUGUUGGGUUAAGUCCCGCAACGAGCGCAACCCUUAUCCUUUGUUGCCAGCGGUUAGGCCGGGAACUCAAAGGAGACUGCCAGUGAUAAACUGGAGGAAGGUGGGGAUGACGUCAAGUCAUCAUGGCCCUUACGACCAGGGCUACACACGUGCUACAAUGGCGCAUACAAAGAGAAGCGACCUCGCGAGAGCAAGCGGACCUCAUAAAGUGCGUCGUAGUCCGGAUUGGAGUCUGCAACUCGACUCCAUGAAGUCGGAAUCGCUAGUAAUCGUGGAUCAGAAUGCCACGGUGAAUACGUUCCCGGGCCUUGUACACACCGCCCGUCACACCAUGGGAGUGGGUUGCAAAAGAAGUAGGUAGCUUAACCUUCGGGAGGGCGCUUACCACUUUGUGAUUCAUGACUGGGGUGAAGUCGUAACAAGGUAACCGUAGGGGAACCUGCGGUUGGAUCACCUCCUUACCUUAAAGAAGC